AGUGAGGCCACAAGAAGAAGUUGUGACCUGGUGUGACCAGUCUGUGACCUGGUGGGGAGAAGGCUCACAAGAACCCAAUCAUGCUAGCACCCUGAUCUUGGACUUCUACAGUAAAGAGCUGGUCACACACAGAGAGAACCAAACUUUUUAAUUUGUAGAGGAGCAUUGCCAUCUGGAUGAAAGAUUACAUUCUGAAGGCUCAAUAAGUGAGUUUUAUUUCCAAACUUUAUUACUCACUCUUUAAGAUGCCUUUUCUACAUCUGUAA
rnacentral:lncRNA from 1 species